UCCGGUCCUCGGUAGUGGCUUCCGGAAGCUCUUCACGGCGCGUCCGGUGGCCUCGAUCGAAGAUCGCU
rfam:Cellulomonas sp. Root930 contig_2, whole genome shotgun sequence.